rnacentral:tRNA from 1 species
GUUGAGUCCUCGCUGAGUUUGUUACGCCUCGGCCGGGUAUCUCGGCCGGGGCUGUUACCGAUUGACCCAAAGUGGUGCAACGCCACUGAUUCGAUU